UACGAAGGGGGCUAGCGUUGCUCGGAAUUACUGGGCGUAAGGGAGCGUAGGCGGACAUUUAAGUCAGGGGUGAAAUCCCGGGGCUCAACCUCGGAAUUGCCUUUGGUACUGGGUGUCUUGAGUAUGAGAGAGGUAUGUGGGACUCCGAGUGUAGAGGUGAAAUUCGUAGAUAUUCGGAAGAACACCAGUGGCGAAGGCGACAUACUGGCUCAUUACUGACGCUGAGGCUCGAAAGCGUGGGGAGCAAACAGG
rnacentral:rRNA from 1 species